GUGAUGAAUGGAGAACGAGGCUGGUGUUCUGCAUUCAGCCCUGCUGCAACCUCAGAGCCGUGCUGCCUGCUCCUGAUCCCAGAGGUGCCGUCUCUGAAGAGGCCACCCCUGGAAGCGCUGUCCUGCCUAGAGUCAGGGCUCACUUCCCUGGUUAUGCCCACUAGCUGUGGGUCCUUGGGCAGCUUCUCAACCUCUCUGAGCCUUGGUUUCCUCAUUGUAAAAAGGAGAUAAUAAAGGCAUCACGUCACAGGCUUGUUGGGAGGGUGCAAGGAGGUACUAAAUGUGACAAACUGAAUACAGUGUUGGGUGCACAAGUGCUCCUCAGUGCUACAUGUCACCCCCAACCUCCUGGGCCAAGUGCCCAGAGUGCUGUGAUGAGGGUCAGACUCAACUCAGCCAGACCCAGGGGACACUGACCCAGGAAUUACAAUGGAAGAUGUUUUCACUGUGGAGGAGCU
rnacentral:lncRNA from 10 species